rnacentral:rRNA from 1 species
UACGGGGGGGGCAAGCGUUGUUCGGAAUUACUGGGCGUAAAGGGCUCGUAGGUGGUCAACUAAGUCGGACGUGAAAUCCCUCGGCUUAACCGGGGAACUGCAUCUGAUACUGGAUGGCUUGAGUUCGGGAGAGGGAUGCGGAAUUCCAGGUGUAGCGGUGAAAUGCGUAGAUAUCUGGAGGAACACCGGUGGCGAAGGCGGCAUCCUGGACCGACACUGACGCUGAGGAGCGAAAGCCAGGGGAGCAAACGGG